GCCAUUGGAUCAUGUUUGGGCACUCCAGAUCUCGCCAAGAAUCAUCACAUCAGGCUUUAUCAAAGUCAACAUCACUGUCAGCCAUUUGAUCUUACAUUAGAUCGAAUUCCCUCCAUCGGAUCAUGCAAAAAUGAAGCUUUGUUUGUUUAGUUCUCAGCCGGCAAUGAACACGGGCCAUUCGAUCUUGCUUCAAACCAAUUUGGACUGUCGAUUCGCAUAGUUGGAGUAGGCCACCAUCAUUUGAUAUGGGAUAGAGUGAUUUAGACCGUUCGAUCUCGUGCAAAAAUCAAUCCCAGCCAUCCAUUAACGCAAAAUGCCUCAUACACUGUGAUAAAAGUCAGAUGACAUCGUUCCCGUGUGCCGCCCAUGAACCUGACAUUGCGCAGCUUAUGGACCGCACUGUUAGUCAUGCCCUAU
rnacentral:lncRNA from 1 species